rnacentral:rRNA from 1 species
CCAAAAACAUCUCUCUUUGUAUAAUAUAAAUAAAGAGUUGGGCCUGCUCGGUGAAACGUUUUAACAGCUGCGGUAUUUUAACUGUACUAAGGUAGCAUAAUAAUUUGCCUUAUAAUUUGAGGCUAGAAUGAAUGGUUUGACGAAGGUUAAUCUGUCUCUGCUUUAUUUUUUAGAAAUUAAUUUUCAUAGUGAAAAAGCUUGAAUUUCUUAAGGGGACGAGAAGACCCUACUGAGCUUAUAAUUUUAUUAUCACAUAUAUUUAUGUAUAAUGUGCUAUAUAAAUUUUAAUUGGGGUGAUUAAGGAAUAAUAUAGCUAUUUUAUAACUUCCUUAGAUAUUAUAUUGUUGAAUUAAGUAACCGAUUAAUUAAUAGAAUUGUAUUAUGUAUUGCUUAUAAUAUAGUUACCAUAGGGAUAACAGCGUAAUUUACUUAGAGAGUUCUUAUUGAAAAGUAAGAUUGCGACCUCGAUGUUGGAUUAAAGUGACCUUAAGGUGC